UUAUUGCCUUAAAAAGUUGUUUUUGGAUUAUUUUUUUUAUGUAAAAGUUGUGCAAUAAUUGAUACAUUCGGUUGUACGAUUUGUUUGCACGGGAAAUCUGCCCUGUGUGGGGAAUUUGCCUAUUUUGUAAAACUGUUUUCGGCUUUCUUAGCCAUAUUUUUUUUCUUGAGCAUGACGUGAUCAAGCCAAGCAGACGAUCUCAGAACGUACGCCCGUCUCCUUGGCAACUCGUUUGACGUUGAUGUUUUACACUCCCUUCACCACAGCUUCAUGAAGAAGGGGAGAAGUAACACACAAACAGGUGUAGCUGUGAGCAAGAACGCUAACACCGCCGCCACCACCACCAACAACAACAGCGAUAUCGUCGCAAAAGGCUUCGACCUUGAAGAAGAAAAAGAAGAAGUAGAAGAAGACUACCACCACCACCACCAGCGGCGGCGGCGGUGGUGGGGAGAUGUCAAAAAUAUUAAUGUAAAAAACUGUAUAGUAGCCUCCUUGGUGAAAAAUCAGAAGAGGAAACUGAACUUUCGAACGAAGACCAGCAAUUUCGUGAGAGCAGGAAAUUCGAUUACAUCGAAUCCGGUACUCAACUAAAAAUCUAAACCCUGCCAUAAGUCGGGAAAACGGGAAAUACGAAAACAUCGACAAAACAAACCAAGGCAUCUGUUUGAACACCAGAAGAGAGGUAUUAGGAAAAUCCAUUGGUAGGGGUUCAUGAGUAACCAAACAACAAGAAAAAUCGUGGCUAUAGGCGCAGGCCUGGUCGUUUGGUAAGAAGCAUGUUUUCCAACCACAUGAUUCCGGCUUUCGUUUCACAGCGUGGUGCCUUGGUCGUUGACCUGCGGCCAUGCUGGGGCAACUCUCGGAAGAGUUUUAGUCAAACAAAUGGGCCCAAGUACUUAAGUUUUUAUUUCAAGUCUGGUAUUUAUUUUAGCGGUGAUCUUUGCCGAACCGCAAAGUUACAUCUUGAUAACCGGUGUUGGGUGUUGGUGUGUUUACGUCUCCUUAACUUUGUGUUUCAGCAAAAAAAAAAAAGGGCCGAUUGAAUAAGUUCCAGGCUUAAAAAAAAACUUUUUGGGGGCGAUUCGUUCGAGUAAAGAAUUCUUAAAGGUGCUGCCCCAGAACAGAACAACGGCAACAAUAACAGAGCACCAUAAAAGAAUUAGAAAGAUUUAUAAGAAAAGGUAAUUCAAUAUAAAAGUGGUUUCUUUCCACCCCAGGACCUUCUUAAAAUCUUUGACCCAUGACAGGUUUACCACAUAAUUCUCCGGUGUUCUUGACAUAAGCGACCUUACGUGGACAUGAAGCGUCGCUCAUUGGGGAAAUAUGCGGGUUGCUGUAGUAGCAAGAACUGUUGAAGGGAAGGGAGGUAAUUUGCUUUGUGUCUGUCAACAAGCGGUUUUCGACAAUAAUUAAUGGUGUAAAAGCAGAAAUAACAGUGAUGAAAAAGAAAAAAAAAACAAAAAACAAACAAACAAGCACGCAACACAUAUAUAAAAUUAAAAAGAGGUGAAGGUGGGGGAAAUCAAAACUUGUGGACAAAAUGCUUUUAAUAGUUUGAAUGUGAUCAAUAUGUUCAACAAGGGUGAUUAGGGUCAAUAACCAAUGAUUAUUUUAGUAAACAGCCACCCAUGGGUCAAAUUUACUUACUUAAUGAGCUAAAAGAAAAAACAAAAACGACAAAAACGAAAUGAGAAUACAUACUUAGAGAUAUACGUACGCACACAGACACAAACACAUAUGUAUGUGUGUGUAUAUAUAUUUAUAUAUAUAUA